rnacentral:rRNA from 1 species
ACGGCUCAGUAACACGUGGAUAACCUGCCCAAGGGUCCGGGAUAACCCCGGGAAACUGGGGAUAAUACCGGAUGGAUCACUCAUGCUGGAAUGCUAGGUGGUCGAAAGGUAACGCCUUUGGAUGGGUCUGCGGCGGAUUAGGUAGACGCCGGUGUAACGUACCGGCGUGCCUGUAAUCCGUACGGGUUGUGGGAGCAAGAGCCCGGAGAUGGAUUCUGAGACACGAAUCCAGGCCCUACGGGGCGCAGCAGGCGCGAAAACUCUACAAUGCAGGCAACUGCGAUAGGGGGACAUCGAGUGGCAUCCACCUUGGGUGCCUGUCCAACCGUCUAAAAAACGGUUGUUAGCAAGGGCCGGGUAAGACCGGUGCCAGCCGCCGCGGUAAUACCGGCGGCUCGAGUGGUGGCCGAUAUUAUUGAGUCUAAAGGGUCCGUAGCCGGCUUUGCAAGUCCCCUGGGAAAUCCAGCGGCUUAACCGUUGGGCUUUCAUGGGAUACUACAUUGCUUGGGACUGGGAGAGGUAGGAGGUACUCGAGGGGUAGGGGUGAAAUCCUGUAAUCCUUCGGGGACCACCAGUGGCGAAGGCGUCCUACCAGAACAGGUCCGACGGUGAGGGACGAAAGCUAGGGGCACGAACCGGAUUAGAUACCCGGGUAGUCCUAGCCGUAAACGAUGCCCGCUAGGUGUCACGACGGUCGUGAAUCGUCGUGGUGCCGUAGGGAAGCCGCGAAGCGGGCCACUUGGGAAGUACGACCGCAAGGUUGAAACUUAAAGGAAUUGGCGGGGGAGCAC